rnacentral:piRNA from 1 species
UAAAAAUGGCAACCCAAUCUUCUGAGAG